rnacentral:rRNA from 1 species
ACGAAACGAGAAGUCGACUCGCCUAUCGGCGUCCGGCCCUCCGCGAGCACCCGAGGGGGUUCGGGCCUCGGACCCGGUCCGAUCCCGUCCCUUCUUCGGGGCUGUCCGCGAAUGGAGGUGUCCUCGGACGGAGUCGAAAGAUUCUCCGGUCCGCGACGCUACGGCUUGGAUGGUCCACCCGACCCGUCUUGAAACACGGACCAAGGAGUCUAACAUGCGCGCGAGUCGUUGGGUCGGAAACGCUCCGCUAAACCCAUAGGCGAAAUGAAAGUGAAGGCCACCGUACGGGCGGCCGAGGGAGGACGGGGCCGCUGACGCGGUCCCCGCACCCCCGGGGCGUCUGAUCCCUCAUCGCGAGGGGAGGCGCACCCAGAGCGCACACGUUGGGACCCGAAAGAUGGUGAACUAUGCCUGGCCAGGACGAAGUCAGGGGAAACCCUGAUGGAGGUCCGUAGCGAUUCUGACGUGCAAAUCGAUCGUCGGAGCUGGGUAUAGGGGCGAAAGACUAAUCGAACCAUCUAGUAGCUGGUUCCCUCCGAAGUUUCCCUCAGGAUAGCUUGCGCUCGGAGGAGAGUCUCAUCCGGUAAAGCGAAUGAUUAGAGGCCUUGGGGCCGAAACGGCUUCAACCUAUUCUCAAACUUUAAAUGGGUGAGAACUCCGGCUUGCUCGAUUACUCGAAGCCGGAGACGGGGACACGUCCCCCGGGAUCGGAGUGCACAGUGGGCCACUUUUGGUAAGCAGAACUGGCGCUGUGGGAUGAACCAAACGACGGGUUAAGGCGCCCGAAUCGACGCUCAUGGGAAACCAUGAAAGGUGUUGGUUGCUUAAGACAGCAGGACGGUGGCCAUGGAAGUCGGAAUCCGCUAAGGAGUGUGUAAUAACUCACCUGCCGAAGCAACUAGCCCUGAAAAUGGAUGGCGCUGAAGCGUCGUGCCUAUACCCGGCCGUCGCCGCAAGACGGACCCGGCCCCGCGCCGGGUGCCGCCUGACGCGGCGACGAGUAGGAGGGUCGCGGCGGCGAGCGCAGAAGGGUCUGGGCUCGAGCCUGCCUGGAGCCGCCGCCGGUGCAGAUCUUGGUGGUAGUAGCAAAUACUCCAGCGAGGCCCUGGAGGACUGAUGUGGAGAAGGGUUUCGUGUGAACAGCCGUUGCACACGAGUCAGUCGAUCCUAAGCCCUAGGAGAAAUCCGACGCCAACGGCGACGGGAAAAAACGAAGGAGAGAUUGAAACCCGUUGAUCGGGCGAAAGGGAAUCCGGUUCCUAUUCCGGAACCCGGCAGCGGAACCGCUGUUUGUCGGGCCCUCACAAGGGGUUCGUCAGGGUAACCUAAAAGGGCCCGGAGACGCCGUCGGGAGCCCCGGAAAGAGUUUUCUUUUCUGCAUGAGCGUUCGAGUUCCCUG